rnacentral:rRNA from 1 species
GACGAACGCUGGCGGCGUGCCUAAUACAUGCAAGUCGAACGCAUUUUCUUUCACCGUAGCUUGCUACACCGAAAGAAAAUGAGUGGCGAACGGGUGAGUACACGUGGGUAACCUGCCCAUCAGCGGGGGAUAACACUUGGAAACAGGUGCUAAUACCGCAUAAUUCCAUUUACCGCAUGGUAAAUGGAUGAAAGGCGCUUUUGCGUCACUGAUGGAUGGACCCGCGGUGCAUUAGCUAGUUGGUGGGGUAACGGCCUACCAAGGCUGCGAUGCAUAGCCGGCCUGAGAGGGUGAUCGGCCACACUGGGACUGAGACACGGCCCAGACUCCUACGGGAGGCAGCAGUAGGGAAUCUUCGGCAAUGGACGCAAGUCUGACCGAGCAACGCCGCGUGAGUGAAGAAGGUUUUCGGAUCGUAAAACUCUGUUGUUAGAGAAGAACAAGGAUGAGAGUGGAAAGUUCAUCCCUUGACGGUAUCUAACCAGAAAGCCACGGCUAACUACGUG